rnacentral:rRNA from 1 species
GAUGAACGCUAGCUACAGGCUUAACACAUGCAAGUCGAGGGAACGACAUCGAAAGCUUGCUUUUGUAUGGGCGUCGACCGGCGCACGGGUGAGUAACGCGUAUCCAACCUGCCCACCACUUGGGGACAACCUUGCGAAAGUAAGACUAAUACCCGAUGAUAUCUCUAGAAGACAUCUGAAAGGGAUUAAAGAUUUAUCGGUGAUGGAUGGGGAUGCGUCUGAUUAGCUUGUUGGUGGGGCAACGGCCUACCAAGGCGACGAUCAGUAGCCGGUCUGAGAGGAUGAACGGCCACAUUUGGGACUGAGACACGGCCCAGACUCCUACGGGAGGCAGCAGUGGGGAAUAUUGCACAAUGGGGGAAACCCGUGAUGCAGCGACGCCGCGUGGAGGAAGAAGGUCUUCGGA